CAGCAGCCGCGGGAAUACGUAGGGUGCAAGCGUUAAUCGGAAUUACUGGGCGUAAAGCGUGCGCAGGCGGUUCGUUAAGACAGAUGUGAAAUCCGCGGGCUUAACCUGGGAACUGCAUUUGUGACUGGCGGGCUAGAGUAUGGCAGAGGGGGGUAGAAUUCCACGUGUAGCAGUGAAAUGCGUAGAGAUGUGGAGGAAUACCGAUGGCGAAGGCAGCCCCCUGGGCCAAUACUGACGCUCAUGCACGAAAGCGUGGGGAGCAAACAGGAUUAGAUACCCCGGUAGUCCCUGUCUCUUAUAC
rnacentral:rRNA from 1 species